UACGUAGGGUGCAAGCGUUGUCCGGAAUUAUUGGGCGUAAAGAGCUCGUAGGCGGUUUGUCGCGUCUGCUGUGAAAACUCGGGGCUUAACCCCGGGCCUGCAGUGGGUACGGGCAGACUAGAGUGUGGUAGGGGAGACUGGAAUUCCUGGUGUAGCGGUGGAAUGCGCAGAUAUCAGGAGGAACACCGAUGGCGAAGGCAGGUCUCUGGGCCAUUACUGACACUGAGAAGCGAAAGCAUGGGGAGCGAACAGG
rnacentral:rRNA from 1 species